rnacentral:ncRNA from 2 species
GCUUACUUGGAAGAAGACGGUCCUUUUCCGGCAACGGGGAAGGCCAAGAGGGAAUGCGGUGAGACCUCGAGCAGGGUCAAAGCCGCGGCUGCCCCCGCAACUGUAAGCGGAGAGCCCGGGCCAAAAAGCCACUGGAGAGAUCCGGGAAGGCGGGCCAGACGGCGAAGACCCGCGAGCCAGGAGACCUGCCGUCAAAGACAUCAUGCU